CGACCGGCGCACGGGUGAGUAACACGUAUGGAACCUGCCCGCAGCAGGGGGAUAAGCGGAAGAAAUUCCGUCUAAUACCGCGUAACAACCCAUGGAGGCAUCUCUGUGGGUUUAAAGGAAGCGAUUCCGGCUACGGAUGGUCAUGCGUCGCAUUAGCUUGUUGGCGGGGUAACGGCCCACCAAGGCGACGAUGCGUAGGGGUUCUGAGAGGAAGGUCCCCCACACUGGUACUGAGACACGGACCAGACUCCUACGGGAGGCAGCAG
rnacentral:rRNA from 1 species